AAAGCUCACUCCUCUGUGCAAUGAUUCCAACUGCAGGGAUCAGUGUCUGAAAUGAAGCUGCAGAUUGUCUAGUGGAUAAAUAAUCCAAGAAGGAAUGGGGGAUGUUAUGACUUUUUGAGAGGAGGCUAACGUCAUAAACCUUAAAAAAUAAUAAUAAUGGAAAUGAAGAAAGAAAACAACAGAAGAUGAAAAGAAUAGCAAAAGAGCUAGAAAUUUCUGACAGGGUCUCAAGAGCAUGUUCAAGUCAUUCACGUGUUUUCAUCAAAUACAGACACAGAUCAGGGAAGAUUAAACCCCACUAAUUUCUCAUCAGAUGCCUCAGAACAAAGUGCCUUCCAAGAACUAAUGGUCAAAAUAUCCACCCAUAAGACAAAUAAGCUUAUAAAAUCUCUUCUUAUAAUCCUGACAUAAUGGAAGUUUCCCUAAACCACCCAGCAUCUAAUACAACCAGCACAAAGAACAACUCAGCAUUUUUUUACUGAGUCCUGUCAACCCCCUUCUUCAGCUUUACUCCUAUUACUUAUAGCCUAUACUGUGGUCUUAAUUGGGGGCCUUUUUGGAAACCUCUCUCUCAUCAUCAUCAUCUUUAAGAAGCACAGAAAAGCUCAGAAUUUCACCAGCAUACUGAUUGUCAAUCUCUCCCUCUCUAAUAUCUUGGUGUGUGUCAUGUGCAUCCCUUUUACUAUCAUCUACACUCUGAUGGACCACUGGAUAUUUGGGGAUACCAUGUGCAAACUCACAUCCUAUGUGCAGAGUGUCUCAAUCUCUGUGUCCAUAUUCUCACUUGUACUCAUUGCUGUCGAAAGAUAUCAGCUAAUUGUGAACCCCCGUGGCUGGAAGCCCAGUGUGACUCAUGCCUACUGAAGUAUCACACUGAUUUGGCUGUUUUCCCUUCUGCUGUCUAUUCCCUUCUUCCUGUCCUACCACCUCACUGAUGAGCCCUUCCGCAAUCUCUCUCUCCCCACUGACCUCUAUACCCACCAGGUGGCCUGUGUGGAGAACUGGCCCUCCAAAAAGGACCGCCUGCUCUUUACCACCUCCCUUUUUCUGCUGCAGUAUUUUGUUCCUCUAGCCUUCAUCCUUAUCUGCUACUUGAAGAUUGUUAUCUGCCUGUGCAGGAGAAAUGCGAAGAUAGACAAGAAGAGGGAAAAUGAGAGCCGGCUCAAUGAGAACAAGAGGAUCAACACAAUGUUGAUUUCCAUCAUGGUGACCUUUGGAGCCUGCUGGCUGCCCCUGAAUAUCUUCAAUGUCAUCUUUGAUUGGUAUCAUGAGGUGCUGAUGAGCUGCCACCACAACCUGGUAUUUGUAGUUUGCCACUUGGUUGCUAUGGUUUCCACAUAUAUAAACCCUCUCUUCUAUGGCUUUCUCAACAAAAAUUUCCAAAAGGACCUGGUAGUGCUUAUUCACCACUGCUGGUGUUUCACACCUCGGGAAAGAUAUGAAAAUAAUGCCAUCUCCACUACGCACACAGACUCCAAGGGGUCUUUAAGAUUAGCUCGUAUACCAACAGGUAUAUGAAAAUUGAUAAUACUUAAUGCUAAAGCUCUUCUUGAAUGGGAGCUGGACAGGUAAUGGUUGGGAAUAGGGCAAGAUGCAGAAAGAAGAAACCAGAACCAAAAAUAGCAACUUUAUACCCACUUUUGCUUUAGGCUAAGACUGCCGGUCUCAUAUGUCUAUUCAACACACCCUCCAACAUACAAAAACACACAUACCACCCCUUUUCUCUUAAGAGAAUAACUCUAAUAAUUCAAACAACCUGGCCGCCAUCAUUUGUGGCAAAGAAUGAGAAUGAGAAAGCAGACAGAGAGGCAAGCAGCAGUGAUGGCUGGGGAACAACGUUCACAGAUACUAGUAAAAGCACUGCUAUACCUCCUUAGCACUGAAGCAAUUCUAUUCUCAGAUAUGAAAACUGUAACUUUCAAUCAUAUAACUAUUCAAUUAAUUAGCCAAGUCAGAAAAUCCCCCCUUAUAAUUCAUUAAUUAAUUAACAAACUAAGUUUGGACUAAAGUUGAAGGGCUGGUUUUAACUUAACAUUUAAACUACGUGUUGUAAUUACAAUUAAUUCCCAUGCUUGAAUCAUAUCUCUAGUUUAUGAUAACGGUACAUUUUUUCACUAACAAUGCUAUUAGAACUGGCCACAAAUUCUUUAGUAUAGCAAUUAUGCUAGAAAUCGCUUUAACUUAUUAAUGGUCAAUAUAGAUACAGCUUUCCUCACAAAGUGGCUUUUAAUCCCUAAUUCUUUAUGUAUAUUAAAUAGAAGUCCUUAUGACUCUAUCACUGGAUCUCAGAGACUUUGUCAGUAGCAUUUUUAUAAUUGGCGCCAGAUUUUUAAAACCUUCUCAUAUAUCUUGUGGCUUAAACGUUUUUAAAAGAGCCCUCAUCCCCACAGACUUACUUACAUAGGGGAAUCAGCUAGACUGUUCUCAGCUAUUAAUUCAGUCACUGUUACUAAAUUGUGACCAGCUUUACCACUUCCUAGAACAAACCUUCCCCGUAUCUAUCAAAUUUGAACUGCAGCUUAUUUGUAUGUUAAAAAUGUAACUGUAAGCUGGACUCAGCAACUUACACCUGUAAUCCCAGCCCUUUGGGAGGCCAAGGUGGGAGGAUCACUUUUGCUCAGUUGAAGACCGGCCUGAGCAACACAGUGAGACUCCAUCUCUACUAAAAAUACAAA